UGCCAGCCGCCGCGGUAAUACGGAGGGUGCAAGCGUUGCUCGGAAUCACUGGGCGUAAAGCGGACGCAGGCGGAACGUUAAGUUGGAUGUGAAAGCCCCGGGCUCAACCUGGGAACUGCAUUCAAAACUGGCGUUCUUGAGUUCAAGAGAGGGUGGUGGAAUUCCUGGUGUAGAGGUGAAAUUCGUUGAUAUCAGGAGGAACACCGGCGGCGAAGGCGGCCACCUGGCUUGAUACUGACGCUCAUGUGCGAAAGUGUGGGUAGCGAACAGGAUUAGAUA
rnacentral:rRNA from 1 species